rnacentral:rRNA from 1 species
GAUUAGGCAUGCAAGUCGCGCGGAAAGGUUCCUUCGGGAACACUCGAGCGGCGAAAGGGAGAGUAACGCGUGGAUAUCUACCCUCGGAUUUGGGAUAGUGGUGGGAAAUUGUUGGUAAUAUUAGAUAAUGUUUUUGGAUUAAAGGUGUAAUUCCGUCCGAGGAUGAGUCCGCGUUUUAUUAGCUUGUUGGUGGGGUAAUGGCCUACCAAGGCUUUGAUGGGUACCGGGUGUGAGAGUAUGGCCCGGCUCACUGGGACUGAGACACUGCCCAGACACCUACGGGUGGCUGCAGUCGAGAAUCUUCGGCAAUGGGCGAAAGCCUGACCGAGCGACGCCGCGUGCGGGAUGAAGGCCUUCGGGUUGUAAACCGCUGUCGGAGGGGAGGAAAUGCAUGAGGGUUUUUUUCUCAUGUUUGACCGAUCCUCGGAGGAAGUACGGGCUAAGUUCGUGCCAGCAGCCGCGGUAAUAUGAAUUGUAUGAAUGUUAUUUGGGAUCACUGGGCUUAAAGAGUGCGUAGGCGGCUUAGAAAGUUGGGUGUGAAAGUCCUCGGUUUAACCGAGGAAUUGUGCCCAAAACUACUAGGCUUGAGGGAGGCAGAGGUAAGCGGAAUUAAUGGUGGAGUGGUGAAAUGUGUUGAUAUUAUUAGGAAUAUUUGAGGUGAAAGUAGCUUACUGGGUCUCUUCUGACGCUGAGGCACGAAAGCUAGGGGAGUGAAUGGGAUUAGAUAUCCCGGUAGUCCUAGCUGUAAACGAUGAGCACUGGAUUGAGGAGAUUUUUAUAUCUUCUCGGUCGUAGUGAAAGUGUUAAGUGCUCUGUCUGGGGAGUAUGGUCGUAAGGCUGAAACUCAAAGGAAUUGACGGGGGCUCACACAAGCGGUGGAGGAUGUGGCUUAAUUUGAGUUUAUGUGAAGAAUUUUAUCCUGGUCUUGAUAUGUUUGAGAAUUUUUUUGAAAGUGAGGAGUGCCCUUCGGGGAGCUCUUGCACAGGUGCUGUAUGGCUGUCGUCAGCUCGUGUUGUGAGAUGUUGGGUUAAGUUUUUUAAUGAGUGAAACCCUUGUCCCUAGUUGCCAGUGGGUUAUGUUGGGGACUCUAGGGAGACCGCCGGUGUUAAACCGGAGGAAGGUGGGGAUGACGUCAAGUCCUCAUGGCCUUUAUGAUCAGGGCUGCACACGUCCUACAAUGGAUCGUAUAAAGGGAAGCGAACUCGUGAGAGUAAGCAAAUUUUAAAAAGCGGUCCCCAGUUUGGAUUGCAGGUUGCAAUUUGCCUGCAUGAAGCCGGAAUCGCUAGUAAUCGCGGGUUAGUAUACCGCGGUGAAUGUGUUCCUGAGCCUUGUACACACUGCCCGUCAAGCCAUGAAAGUGGGGGGUCGAUGAAGUUGUUGAGCUAACCCGUAAGGGAGGUAAGUGUUGAAUCGAAACUCCGCGAUUGGGACUAAGUCGAAAUAAGGU